GUUAGCUGCAUUUCUUCGAAAGAACUGGACACGUUGACACUGAUUAGUGGAAUCUGAGCAUUAAGCCACCUAUUAUGGCUUGUUUUACGUGGCCCAAUUAAUGUGGUUAUUCGCGAGAGAUCUAUUGCGUGUACUAUUUAAUCAACUUUCCAACUCAAUCGAUCCGGUUCUAUAUGUAUAUAUAAAUCCUGCAUGUGCGGUUGCUUGAUUGAUCAUUGUAAGGCAGAAAGAAGAAGAAGAAGAAGAAGAAGAAGGAGAAUACUGAUUCGGAGGAGUUUCCAACUGCCCUCAAAGGCUUCCAAUAUUCCUGCAUUAGGAUGGGAUCGAUCCUGAAUGUGGGAUAUUGGACCUUUGAAGGUGAUUGAAGACUCUCUCCUCUUUAACUGUACCCACGUUAAUUCUAUCAGUUUAGAGAUCGACGGAGGGAAGUUCUAAGGUAGUGGCGGCAUGGGCCAUAGCAAGGGAGUCAGCUUUAACGGCAGAGUCGGUGUGGUGUACAGGUAGUCUCGUCAAUCCCUAUCCACUCUGAUGUCUAAGUAGAAUUUACUCUAUUAUUUUGUACUGUGCCAGGUGUUUUCUCGAGUCUUGUGUAUGUCGGCACAGGAGUUUGUAUUCUUUUAUUUAUCUUGUGACCGCUGUGUUAGCGGGGUACCCAUAGUGCAUGCAUGUCUUGAGCUUUGCUUCCGCUGUUCU